GUGGCUGGUGAGUAGGACAGCAGGAAAGCGCUUUGGCGUGAGCAGGGUUCGAAUCCCUGCCGCCCCUCCA
rnacentral:tRNA from 1 species